AUGACUUUACAUGUGGAAGGUUGUAAGCCAAGAAUUAAAACAGGUAAGGAUUUGCAUAGUUGGCAUACACACUUGGCUGUGUUGGAGGUUUUCAAGCCAAGAGAAGUGCCAACUUGGCUAAUCCUUGUUUUGCAUAUUUGUCUCUAUUUAUUAGCUGCUCCCUCCAGCCCCGGACGCCUUCGAAUCGAAACAAACUAAAGCUCUUCCAUCUCUGUUUUUCUUCUUUCGAUCUGCCCAUCAGCCUUAGCUUGUUAUCAAGUAUCAACACCAUAUUUCUUCAUUAAAAGGUAAAUACCAUUUAUUACUAUUUAAAGAUUUUAUUUUAUUACAUGUAUAUUGCACCUCAUCUAUUAUUACUUGAUCAGAAUAGAUAAUGAAAUAUUGACGUACGCAAACCCUUGAGGUUACAACACAUAAUUUGCUAUUCUUUUUGCUUCAUUUAUUUAGUUAAAAAAAUAUAUAUAGGAUUAAACUAAAAACUAUGGGUUGUAGUGCAGUGAUGAGACUGCUUCACUCUUAAUCAGAGGUUUCGGAGUCGAACCCUAGGUAUGACAAUUUUUUUUGUUGGGAGCACCACCCCCAAAUGGGGCCUGUAGUGCGUGAUCCGGAUUUAGUCGGGGCUCCAACAUGAACUCCGAACACCGAAUGAGAAACCAAAAAAAAAAAUUAAACAAAACUAAGAAAAUAUGAUGAUGUGGUUGUGACUCAUGGGGAUGAUUAUGCAUUUAUGCUAAUUACUAAGCUUGAGACUAGACUUUUAUUGACACUUCACAGUCAUAGACGCACGAUGAUUGGACAAGUUUUGAAGAGGAUGCGAUCCGCGAUAACAAAGUAAAGCUAACAACUUUUAAAAUUAACCAAAAAAAAAUUGUGAUUUUCUUUUAUGUUCAAUUAAAUAUAAUUCCUUAAAAUCCUUGAUAACAAAUAAUUAACAUUAAUUAUAUAUUUAGAUAAUUUAAUAGUAACUGAAUCGUGUUAUCGUCAUCCUUUCUCAUUAUCAUCUACCAUUAUUAGCAUCAAAAUUCAAAAUCAUCAUUCUUGUGAUCAGUCACUAUCACUAACCACUAUUUACAAUCAUCAUCACAAUAACUGCAAAUUAUCACCUUCCGUCACUACUUAUAUAUAACCAACCACCAUCUUUAUUCACUAUCUCUAUUAGCUACUACCGCCAUAAAUCUCUAUUGUUAAUCCUCAUCACCAUUAGAAUAACUACUAUAUGUUACCACCCUACAAUCAUCCCCACUAGAUAUCCACAAACAUUACUACUAUUCAUCAAUAUCAUCGACCACCUUAAAAAAAUAUUUUUUUAUUGAUAUUUACAGGGUAUUCAAUUAAUUUAGUAUUUUAUUUAAUUUUAUAUUUCUUAAUUUCAAAAUGAAGACAAAUUUUAUAUAUAGAAGUGUUAGAAAAACAAAUAACUUUAAUUAUAUAGUAUUCAGAUCUUAAUAUAACAUCUUAGUAAUUCAUAUAUGUAUUUAGAUUCAUACAGCUAAAUUAUAAUCUACAUUUUAAUGAAAACGCAUUAGGUCUUCUUUAUUGUAAAACUAAUUAAUCAUUCACGUCUAUUCAGACUCAUUAAGUAACUAUACCAUUAAAAUAACAAACACACUUAAUGAUUAUGAUUUGAAUGAUUAAGAUUCAAACCUAAAAAAUAAAUGAACUUAAUGAUUGAUAUGUUAUUAGUGACUAAUAUUUGAAUAAUUAAGUUUAAAACCAUUGUUAAGUGUGUGUGUAUAUUAGAGAUGAUUUAGAAUUUUAAUUUGGGAAAAUGGUUUGAUAUAUCCAUCGACUUUGUCAUUUGGAGGAAUAUAGUUAAUAUAUCCUUUGUUAUAAAAGUAGUUCAUAUAUACUCCUAUUAUUACACAAAUGGAAGUGAAAAAAUUAAUUUGAAUUAAUUUUUUAAUUUUUUUUAAAAAAAAAACAUUCAUGUAGUAUAUUUGAUCCUUCGAAUUCUCACGCAUAUUUUUUUUUUUACUUCUUUGAUUCAAUGACUAAUUUGAAUUUACUAUUUUGAUGGUCAAAUUUAUUGUCACUAAAUUUCUUGAUUUUUUUUUAUCAUAUAUGCCCUAAUUUUUAUUUUUUUAUAUAUACAAAAAAUAAAUUAUAAUAUAUUCGGAAUUUUUUAAUUUUUUUCUUCUUAUUUUCUCUUUUCCAUUCACUCUUCUUCUUUUCUAAUUCUCAUAUUAUUACACUAAAGAAUGAACAAAAAAUAUUAAAAUAAGAAUAAGAAACUCAAAUAAUGAAUUUCGAAGAAGUCAAAAAAUAUAUCAUGUGUGAAAAAGAUUAUAUAUAUCCCUACAUGAUUUUUUAAAAGAAUAAAUUAUUAUUUUUCACUUUCGUUAAAUAAAAAGGGGAAAAUGGUCAAAUAUGCCCCUAAACUAUGCGAAAAUAUCUAGCUAUACCCUCCGUUUGAAGUUUGGCUCAUUUGUGCCCUCGCCGUCCAACUUUUCACCCAUAAAUGCCCUUGUAGACGUUGCUUUGCUGGAAAUAACCAACUCAUUUUUCUUUUCUUUAAAUAACAAAUGAAAUUGCCACAUCCCCUUUUAAUUACCACAUGUCAUUUAUUUAUGUUAAAAAUGAAUACACCUCUUUUAAAUAGAAUAUCCGACCUGUAAAUCCUAUCCGACCCAAAUUUCUUUGGUGGAUAUUUCACAUAAGCUGAUAAAUCAUAUAUGACCAAAAUCUAUUUGGUCGGAGAAACGCCAUCUCCAACCAAACUCAUCGUUUUCUCCUAAAAGUAAAACACCAUUAAAGGUGAGCUUCUAGCUCUAACCAUGAGCAAACAAUAGAGCUCCAAUGAGCUCACUGAUUCACAUAACCUCGGACAAACAAUCACCAAAUAGCUCCGACCACCACGAGCUCCAGAACACCACCCCCAAGGUAGCCGACAAAACACCAACCCACACACCUCACUGGUCUGGCAAGACAGCUAGCAAACGACCCCAAAAUAGUUGUAUUUCAGAUGUCAAAUGUUAUCUCAUUUUAGAUCUGGUCGGAGGAAUUGAAACUCCGGCCAUCUUGGGUUGGAUAUGAUUUACGGGUCGAAUAUCCUAUUUAAAAGAGGUGUAUUCAUUUUUUAAAUAUAAAUAAAUGACACGUGGUAAUUAAAAGGGGAUGUUGCGAUUCCAUUUGGUAUUUAAAGAAAGGGAAAAUUAAUUGGUUAUUUCCAGCAAAACAACUAACGUCUACAAGGGAAUAUAUGGGCGAAAAGUUGAACGGCGAGGGCACAUAUGAGCCAAACUUCAAACAUAGGGUAUAUCUAGACAUUUUUGUAUAGUUUAGGGGCAUAUUUGACCCUUUUUCCAAUAAAAAAAGAUAUGUAUAAGCCACUAUUGUAACUAUAUAUAUGUGUGUGUGUGUGUAUGGAAUGAUUUGAAAAUGAUAUUAUACAUGAUAAAAUUGUAAUGUAUCAUAAAGGUGAGACGAACAAAAUAUACAUUAAUUUAAAAAUCAAAAUCAACGAGAUACAUUAAAAGAUCUGCUGAAAGUAACAAAAAAAAAUCAACAAUUUGAUUUGCUAAAAGCAAUAAAAAAUAAAAAAUGAUGAAGAAAUUCUUCCACACUUUCUCCUUUUUUCUGUAUCAACUCUUGUAGUCACCAUGGAUCUCGACCCAAAACAUUACCGGAGCCACCAACCACUCUUGAUAAAAUUGUAAUGUAUCAUAAUGUUGAAACAAAUGCAUUAUACAUUAAUUUAAGAAACAGCAAGAAAAAUAUAAUCAUUAAGAAAACUGAACUCAAAUGUAUCAGAAAAAAGAUGAACAACAAAAAAUCUGAAAAAAGUCAACAAUCUAUUGAAAGCCAAAAAAAAAAAAUGAAGAAAUCCUUCUACACUUUGUCUUUUGCUCUGUAUCAAUUCCCGUAGCCUUUUAUCACUUUCAACAAUGACGUCACUCAUGGAUCUCGAUCCAAUGCCCUUACCGGUGCCACCAACAACUCGACUUUUUCUUCUUUUUUGGGCGUUUUUUCCACAAUCGAUUUUAAUGUUGAAGAUGCAUCCUUCUUCGACUAAAUUUGUAGAUGAAAAACUAAAGAAAUAUAAAAAAGAUUGAUACCGGAUGAAGUGGAAAGAAAAAAAUGGAUGAAGAAGAAGAUGAAGAACCACCGCUUCAAUAACUUGCAAUUGGUAAAUCAGAGAAAAGAUUUGAAAUUCAAAAAUAGAGUGAUGGAGAUAAUUGGUGAUAUCAUUGAGUGAUUUUAGGUGUGAAAAAAGGAAAAAAAUCUUUGGGUAAUAGUAUAUAGUGAUGUAUCCGAAAAAGUGAGAGAAAUUAUGAAAAAGAGGGAUUUUUGUAAUUUUUUAGAAUGAUAGGGAGUAAUAAAAAAUAGGAUAAAAAAGGAAAUGUAGUUAGGUAAUUUUUCCAAAACUUAAUGUAACCUCAAGCAUAUCAAAUUUCAGCAAAAGAAGAGGUAAAUAAAUCACAACCAUCUUUUACAACCAAAUUUAAAUUAUAAUACCCACAUCUAAGAUGGAAACAACGGCCAAUAAGUAGGCACAAACUUUUAAAGCAUAGUCUUGCAGUGAGAUCAGUAAAAAUAUUAUGACAGUUGAAAUUCUGUUAACAAGACCAAAAUAUUGUACAAAUCCUAAAAUAGUUGUACCUAUAUAAGCUCAAGUGUAUUUUUCACUAACAAAUUGUAAUGAAUAAUACUUUUGUGCAAAUUUCAUUUAUGAUCAAUUUAGGGGUAUGCCAAUGAUGUGGAAGUGAGGCUUGACACACGUAUCUUGGGUCUAUAAUUCAGGAGAGUGGGGAUAUCGAUGAUGAUAUCACACAUUGUAUUGGUGCGACGUGGAUUAAGUGGAGGUUUGCCUUUGGAGUCUUGUGUGAUAAAAAAGUACCACUGAAACUCAAAGGUAAGUUUUAUAGAGUGAUGGUUAGACCGGCACUGUAUGGCAUGGAGUGUUAGCCAGUCAAAAGCUCCUAUCUCCAGAAAUGUAUCUUGUAGAGAUGAGGAUGUUGAUGUGGAUGUGUGGUCAUACUGAAAGCAAUAAGAUUAGAAAUGAGGAUAUUUAAAUGAAGGUGGGAGUGACAUAUGUGAUGGACAAGUAGAGGGAAGCAAGACUGAGAUGAUUUGGAUAUGUGAAGAGGAGAUGCGUAGAUGCACAAGUAGGAGGUGCGAGAGGUUGGUUAUCAAGGGUUCAUGGAGAGACAGAGGUAGACCUAUGAUGCACUUGUAGGUUACCGAUGACAUGACCUUAGAUAGGAAGGUGUGGAGGACUCGUAUUAGGGUUGAAGGUUAGUAGGUAUUGUAGUUGGCUUGCUUAGGGUGGUUGGUGGUUGACAUAGAACUAGUUGUUGUAUUGUAGCUCUUGUUUUCAAUAAUGUAUCCUAGUAUGAUGUGUAUUGUGUUUUGAUUAUCAAAUUAUUUUGUUGUUUUGCUCUCUUCUGGUAGACUUCACAUUAUCAUUAUCUCCUUGUUACUUGUUAUAUUUUCUUCAUUGUCUCUUUUGUACUUUGCACUUCAAUAUAGUCUUUUGGAAACCUCUCUAUCUCCAUGAGGUAGUGAUAAGGUUUGCAUACAUUCUAUCCUCCUCAGAUCGCACUUACAAAAUUUUACUUGGUAUGUUGUUAUUUUUAGUGAUAUGUAAAUAUUAAAUAAUCAUUGUUAUUAGGACUACAACCUAUAUCAAAAGUGACGGACACUACAAUCUAAUUGAUAAAAUAACGUAAAUAUUCACCCUAAAAUUUAAGAACAUUAUUUCUAAUUAUAGCUCUAAAAAACCUCUAUAAGGUUAUAUGUAUCUUGUAUAAAAUGUACAAAAUCGGGGUGAGCAGAAAAAUGAAUUAGAGGAAAGAUAUUUAGAAUUUAGGUUAUAUAUAUCUUCAAGUCAUUUUGCUGAUGCAGUAGUCCUUUGGUAUAGCCACAUUUGUCCCAAAAUUUUAAUGGACGGAAAUGAAUUAGAUUGAUAUGGACUAUCAAACAUAAACGGAUUAGACGGGUCAUAAUUUUAUGGACUAAUUGUCACCCUUACUUUUGAUAUAACCUCUAAUUUACAUAGUCAUUGCAUUACAUACAAGUUAUCGAGACGCUGCAGCAGCAUCUCUUUAUUUAUCCUUAUACAGUUUUUCAGUGUUUCAACCAUACCAAGACAACAUACAAGAGAAGACUACAUAGUAGCACACCCUAGUUAGAUGCAGCAGAUAUAACCUCGGCAGGACAUAUCCCACGGCAAGAGGAGUGGCUGCUCUGCUAUAUUUUGGGAAGGCUGUUAUUUAUAUCUUGAGCUUCUAUCUGAUAUGUGAUGCCUUCAGUGUGUUUAGACUCUAGAGAAAAUUCAGGGUCACCCUCUGUUGUCCACAAUCCAUAUGGGUUGGUGCAAUGUUAUUUAAAUUCAUUGCCAUCUCAUUUUCUUCUCUGUUCUUUAUGGUACCUAUCUGUAAACAUACUAGUCAUUCACACACAUGUACCAAAUAUCCACACAAAUCACCCUAAUAUUUGUUUAGCCGAAUUGCAGCACUUACCUCAUCCUCCAGAACUUUGUUUUCCUCUAUCAGCUGCUUUUCCUGCAGAUAAAUAGUUUCCAGUCAAGUCUAGCAUGUUAAACAUAAUCCCAAUGUAACAACAUAAACCUGUGUCCAGAAAAUGCUGAUAUAUGGCACACUAAUAUUGCAUAAACUUCAGUUGAUAAUAGGAUUCCUUAAAAAAAUCUAUAGAGCUAAAAAUAACUGUAAACAGCAUGAUGCCAGUAUGCUAGUGAACUUGAAGAGCCAAACUAGCUCCAUGAUUUUCUCAAUUCCAUAACAAGUCCAGCGUUAAGAGGUGCAAAUGCAAUUGUCAGGGAAAACAUUCAGCCAGGAGUGAGGAGUUUGGUAGACGAUCAAAUGAUAGAAAAUAUUUGAUCCUUGUCCUAAUGAUUAAGUAUCUGGCUUAGCUCACUUCCAGAAAAGUUGAUGCCCUGCAUCUUAUACCCUUUCUUGACACCAGGAAAUUGUUUUUAAAACACUCUGCUGAAGCAGUUUUUGACGGCCAGAUGGCACCUCACCCAUACAUAGUGAUAAAAAGAACUGUUAUUAUUUGCUGAAUAGACAGGUAGAUGGAAAAAUAUCAUGACUGUGCUCAACAAUUAAACACUUUUUAUUAUAACCGUGGUGUCCGGGCCAGCUUGCGCACACCUCGACUAAUUCCACGGUAUAAUUGCCACCUUCCACCAGUAAUAGGCACCACGUAAUUCUAUCCACCAAGGCUAGGGGAAGAAACCCGUGGUGUUUUUGUCUCCACUGGAAUUUGAACCUGAGACCUCAUGGUUCUUAACCACUUCAUUGACCACUAGGCCACACCCUUGGGUGCUCAACAAUAACACACUCUAAAAAGCCCACGUACAGUGAAAACCUUUGUUGCCGUUGGAAAAAGAAUUCUCUUUGACAGCAAGAUGGCACCUCACUAUACAGCAAAUUAGAACUUCCAAAAAUUGCUCUCCCCAGACCCCACUUGGUGAGAUUUCACUGGGUAUGUUGUUGUCUCUCAAAUUCUACAGUGGUCUGGACUCAAGAAUAUCAUUCUAUUUGUUUAGUCUAGCAGCAAGAGUCAUCUCUGGACCUAGCAAAAUCCAAAACUCUCAUGUGGAUUUCAUCAAGGCAGCAGGCUCUGUUUAAUUAUGACAUUGGCAUGCAACAAUACUCUUUACUAGAAAGUUGAAACUAAGGAUGAGUAUAGCAUUCAAGGUACCAAGGGAUCUUACAUCUCGUGGGGAGAUGAAGUUUCAGGUUUUCAUUUUAUGCUGAUGAAACAGAAUAUUAGCUGGCCUAUAUUGAUAGACUUAAAACAGAGAGUUGAGAAUCAAAGGAUAAAAGUGACAAGGAGUAGGACACCAUAACUUCCAUUGAUUCAAUGAUGGAGACAGAUAAUACCAAGUAUAGUGGGGGACGCUUGAUGAAUUUUAAGGUCUAGCUAUUGCUACAACUAGAAUGAUAAGGCUCUUCAACUCAUCAUAUCUUCCAACUUAUCUUUACCUUCUCAUUGUUCUCAUAUCCUCUCAAUCAGUUUAUAAGCGCUUCACAUCAGAACAAUGCACGCUCAUGAAAGAAGAACCAGGCCAGCUAUGCCAAUAUUUACAUCAACUAAUGACACGGUUAGGAAGCUGUUCUAUAGAAGGCACCCUGCAUGCUCUUUGGGAAACUAAGCAAAUCUACUCAGGAAAAAUGGAGACCUACCUUGUCAUGAAGAUUCUUAAUUGAUUCAAUCAACAAGUGUGUCUGCAUAAAACAAAACUAGUUAGCUUCACUUCGUAUCACUCCCAAAAGAAAUAGGGAACUAAAGCAGUCGAACAGUAAAAGAAUUGCAGAUAAUUUAAAAAGAAGGCAAAAGAUAAAAUUAGCACGCAUGGGUGUAGGAUUGGAUUAAAAUGAUCACACCAAUAUGGAACUCUUUGUACGGUUGCAAUGUCUUAGAAAUACAACUGAUGUAGCACCACCAACAAGACUAAUUCAGCUUUAGGCAUCCCACUUAUGUAAGUUCUAGGCCAUAAAAAGGUAAGUUGUUUCUAUAGAGCAGCUGGAACAAGUCUGUUUAUGAGUAAAGGUACAGAGGAAUGUGGAAAAUCCAAAACCUUUCUAAAUCUGGUUUGUGUCAGAGCAGUCUCGACUUGGUUUUCCAAAUGGACAAGAUCAGUAAUGCUGAGAUCAUCAACAUCAGGCUCCUUGAGUUGCCUGUCAAAUUGUGGAUCAAUACCAUGCUUUCCAAGGGAAGCUCAAAAAAAAAAAAAAGAGCAGCAAAAGGUCAGUACUUUUCUACCGUCUGUAGCAGUUCUUCCAUUCUCAUGAAACUUGCAUAUUUAGAUUCCUGUUCCCAUACAACGAUAGAAUAAUUUCAGCAACUGAAAUUGUAUAUAGUUACUCCAGGCAUAUUGGAUUAACUCUCAAUGGAAUGACUAUAGCUAAUACUCAUUAUUUGCAUGAUGUAUGUGACUGAACAACUGUCGCACCACUUUCCUGGUUUUGACGAUGUACAACUUAUGUUUAAAACAACGCAUUCUAGAAAAACAAACAGCAAUAUAUUGAAUAAGAUUCAUUUAUGAUGUAAAAUGACCAUCCUUAAUUACCACAUACUAAAUUGGAGCUUCUAACUAGAGCAGGACAAAAGCUGAGAACAUAUAACUUCACAUAUAGAUUUUGUGUCCUAGGAUCUACUCACAAUAGAUAAAGAUGCAUUACAAGCCACCAAGUCACCUGCAAAGAUUUGUAUUAACUUAACAUCUAUGGAUUUGCUUUUGGGAAAUCAAAAAACUAUACAAACAUUAAUAAUUUGACAUGGUGAUUAAACUUUUCGACUUCACAGCCCAUGAGUUGCUUUCUAGUUCCCGAAGAACCAUAAAAACAUUUAGUGUACUCGUUACAUUUAUUCAUUAUACAGUACCUCUGUCAAGAGAUAAGAGGACAGUGAAGUUAACUAGAUAUAUACCUCUGUGUCAUCGACUUCUGCAGAGACCUUAUCUUCUGCUUUCAUGUGGGUGUUAUAUCGGUGAAUAACUCCUGUCAGACUGAAACACAUAUAUCAUGUGGUCGUCAUCAGUUUGUUAGCCAAUCUACUCAAACAGGAAAUGGACUCCACAAUAUUAAGUUCAUACUUGAGGAAGGAAGAGUAAUGUGUGUAGUUCAAAAACACAAUGCAUCAAACAAAUUCUCCACAAAUUUGUGGUUUCUCUUAAAUUUCGGCCUUGCAUUAGGGACUGCAGUAUCAAAACACAAUUACACUAGACAGUAAAGUUGGAAUAUUUACAACCACACUGGUUUGAUCACUAAAAAGCAAGAACUGUUGGAAACAACUAGAACAGUGAUAACUCACUUAGCCGUAAAAGAAACUAUAGCUACUUUCCAAUUUCAAGAAAUUGUAGGGUCUCCACCACUUAAUAAGAAAAUGAAUAGAUAAGAAAAGCUAUAGGUCAAACUACUUGGGCAAGAGAGGAACAUGAUGGUUCAGGAAAAUGUUCAUAGGAAUCCAGACACACCAACUUGGCCAAAACCAUCCUGUUGCCUUUCAAUAACUGGGGGAUUUAGACUACAAUAGUCUACAUGGUGACCAAAUAGAUUUAACAAUCGAUCAUCAACCAAUCGAAUACACCUCAAUGAAAAUAAGUAGAAAAGAUUACAUGAAUCCUCUAUAUUCAUUCCGCACUAUUGAACUCCAUUCAUUCAGAUACUAGAUCGAGUUUGCCAAAAGCUCACCCAUAUCCUUUAGAGUUAACUAGUUAGUUAGGAAGAGUUGAACAAAUCCUCCGUUAGAAUAGAAAUAAGUAUAUACAAUCCUAAUUAGAAUAGGAAUAGGAAUAGGAAUAAGAAUAGGAAUCCUAGUUGAAAAAGGAUUCCAAUGUAGUGUCUAUAAAUAGGGUCUCAAUGUAAUAAUGUAUCACACAAUUUAAUAAUAUUUUUCUCCUAUAUUUCUCACAUGGUAUCAGAGCAAUGGUGAGAAAAUUAAAUCAGCCGUCACUGUGCAAUUUUCCGGUGACCUAAAUUGCUGUCCCAGAAAGAAAAAAUCAGCAAUUAUUCUGGCCAUUUUUUUUUCAGCAGUUUUUUUUUCCAGUGGGGUUGCCUCUUGAUUCCGAGGCUGAUCAUAUAAUUUAUUUUCCUGAUUCCGACCAGUUUUUGGCGACCAGAUUCCUUCUUUUUUUCCGGCAGUCAGAUCUAUUUUCAGCAGUCAGAUUUUGGCCCCAAAUUUUUAUUUUAUUUCCAACAGUCAGAUCUAAUUAUUUUUAUUUUUUGUGAGAAUAUUCUAAUUUCACAAUGUCGUUCGGGAUUGAUAUUUUUUUAAUAUAGAAAAUAACUCAGAACGAUCUUUCAUUAAGAAAACCCAAGUGCAUCUUGAAAAAUCAUCAAUGAAACUAACAAAAUAACGAAAACCUAAGGGUGAACUGACUCUACUAGGACCUCAAAUAUCAGAAUGGACUAAUGAAAAAAUAGACUCUGAACGACCCUCAGUACUACGGGAAAAUGUAGCACGGAUGUGUUUCCCAUCCAACAGGUAAAUCUACUAUUGGUUGCCGUUGGGUUUAUGCAGUCAAAAUUGAUCCAAACGGUCAGGUUGAUCAGCUUAAGGCUCGUCUUGUUGCCAAAGGGUAUACUCAAAUAUUUGGACUCGAUUAUAGUGAUACUUUCGCUCCCAUCUAUUCGUCUUUUUCUGUCCAUGGCUGCAGUUCGUCAUUGGCCUCUUCAUCAGUUGGACAUUAAAAAUGCUUUUCUACAUGGUGAUCUUGCGGAAGAAGUCUAUAUGGAGCAACCACCUGGUUUUGUUGCUCAUGGGGAGUCUAGUAACCUUGUAUGUCGAUUGCGUAAGUCACUCUAUGGUCUAAAACAAUCUCCUCGAGCCUGGUUUGGAAAGUUUAGCAGAGUAAUUCAGGAGUUCGGCAUGACUCGUAGUGGAGCUGAUCACUCUGUGUUUUAUCGGCAUUCUGCACCAAAUCAGUGUAUUUAUUUGGUUGUUUAUGUUGAUGAUACUGUUAUCACUGGCAAUGAUCAAGAUGAUAUCACUAAUUUGAAGCAACAUCUCUUUAAUCAUUUUCAAACUCAAGACCUAGACCUUGGCAGACUGAAGUAUUUUCUAGGUAUUGAGGUUGCUCAGUCUAGAUCAGGUAUUGUUAUUUCUCAACGCAAGUAUGCCUUAGACAUUCUUGAGGAGACAGGAAUGUUGGAUGUAGACCCAUUGACACUCCUAUGGAUCCGAAUGUUAAACUCCUUCCAGAACAGGGGGAGCCACUUAGUAAUCUUGAAAGGUAUAGACGGUUGGUUGGAAAGUUAAACUAUCUCACAGUGACUUGACCUGACAUCUCUUUUCCUGUGAGUGUUGUAAGUCAGUUUAUGACUUCCCCUUGUGAUAGUCAUUGGGAAGCAGUUGUUCGUAUUCUGCGAUAUAUAAAGUCAGCUCUCGAUAAAGGACUACUCUUUGAGGAUCAAAGCCAUGAGCAUAUCACUGGAUAUACAGACGCUGAUUGGGCAGGAUCACCCUCCGAUAGACAUUCGACAUCCGGAUAUUGUGUUUUAGUAGUAGGUAAUUUGGUGUCGUGGAAGAGUAAGAAACAGAAUGUGGUUGCUCGAUCUAGUGCAGAAUCAGAAUAUCGAGCAAUGGCGACAGCAACUUGUGAGCUAGUUUGGAUCAAACAAUUGCUGGGAGAACUAAAAUUUGGCGAAAUUGAUCAGAUGGAACUUGUGUGUGAUAAUCAAGCGGCUCUUCAUAUCGCAUCAAAUCAGUGUUUCAGGAAAGGACUAAGCACAUUGAGAUUGACUGUCACUUUGUCAGAGAAAAGAUACUCUCGGGAGAUAUUGUUACGAAAUUUGUGAAGUCAAAUGAUCAACUUGCAGAUAUCUUCACCAAGUCCCUCACAUGUCCUCGUAUUAAUUACAUCUGUAACAAGCUAGGUACAUAUGAUUUGUAUGCACCAGCUUGAGGGGGAGUGUUAGAAUAGAAAUAAGUAUUUCCUACUUAGAAUAGGAAUAUGAAUAGGAAUAGGAAUAGGAAUAAGAAUAGGAAUCCUAGUUGGAAAAGGAUUCCAAUGUAGUGUCUAUAAAUAGGGUCUCAAUGUAACAAUUUAGAUACACAAUUCAAUAUUAUUUUUCCCAUAUAUUUCUCACAAUUAGAUCUACACGUCCCCAGUUAAUUCAUAUCCAUUAGACAUUAAAAAGAUCUGAUUUUGUGGGGCUUGCAAAGUAUAUGAAUUGGAAUCACAUUAUUUUAUGAUAAGGGAAACCCGCAGCAGGGUGGUAAAACCUCCGCUCCUAUGCAAUAGCUCGCAAACCACAUAGGAGAGGUAACCCGCACUAGGCAAGCCUGGUGCGACGAGCUCGACCCAGAAGGCAAACCCCUUGCUUUCGCUGGCAAGGGGUUUCGNNNNNNNNNNNNNNNNNNNNNNNNNNNNNNNNNNNNNNNNNNNNNNNNNNNNNNNNNNNNNNNNNNNNNNNNNNNNNNNNNNNNNNNNNNNNNNNNNNNNNNNNNNNNNNNNNNNNNNNNNNNNNNNNNNNNNNNNNNNNNNNNNNNNNNNNNNNNNNNNNNNNNNNNNNNNNNNNNNNNNNNNNNNNNNNNNNNNNNNNNNNNNNNNNNNNNNNNNNNNNNNNNNNNNNNNNNNNNNNNNNNNNNNNNNNNNNNNNNNNNNNNNNNNNNNNNNNNNNNNNNNNNNNNNNNNNNNNNNNNNNNNNNNNNNNNNNNNNNNNNNNNNNNNNNNNNNNNNNNNNNNNNNNNNNNNNNNNNNNNNNNNNNNNNNNNNNNNNNNNNNNNNNNNNNNNNNNNNNNNNNNNNNNNNNNNNNNNNNNNNNNNNNNNNNNNNNNNNNNNNNNNNNNNNNNNNNNNNNNNNNNNNNNNNNNNNNNNNNNNNNNNNNNNNNNNNNNNNNNNNNNNNNNNNNNNNNNNNNNNNNNNNNNNNNNNNNNNNNNNNNNNNNNNNNNNNNNNNNNNNNNNNNNNNNNNNNNNNNNNNNNNNNNNNNNNNNNNNNNNNNNNNNNNNNNNNNNNNNNNNNNNNNNNNNNNNNNNNNNNNNNNNNNNNNNNNNNNNNNNNNNNNNNNNNNNNNNNNNNNNNNNNNNNNNNNNNNNNNNNNNNNNNNNNNNNNNNNNNNNNNNNNNNNNNNNNNNNNNNNNNNNNNNNNNNNNNNNNNNNNNNNNNNNNNNNNNNNNNNNNNNNNNNNNNNNNNNNNNNNNNNNNNNNNNNNNNNNNNNNNNNNNNNNNNNNNNNNNNNNNNNNNNNNNNNNNNNNNNNNNNNNNNNNNNNNNNNNNNNNNNNNNNNNNNNNNNNNNNNNNNNNNNNNNNNNNNNNNNNNNNNNNNNNNNNNNNNNNNNNNNNNNNNNNNNNNNNNNNNNNNNNNNNNNNNNNNNNNNNNNNNNNNNNNNNNNNNNNNNNNNNNNNNNNNNNNNNNNNNNNNNNNNNNNNNNNNNNNNNNNNNNNNNNNNNNNNNNNNNNNNNNNNNNNNNNNNNNNNNNNAAGUGUGGUUGCUCGAUCUAGUGCAGAAUCAGAAUAUCGAGCAAUGGCGACAGCAACUUGUGAGCUAGUUUGGAUCAAACAGUUGCUGGGAGAGCUAAAAUUUGGUGAAAUCGGUCAGAUGGAACAUGUGUGUGAUAAUCAAGCGGCUCUUCAUAUCGCAUCAAAUCCAAUAUUUCAUGAAAACACUAAGAACAUUAAGAUUGACUAUCACUUUGUCAGAGAAAAGAUACUCUCAGGAGAUAUUGUUACGAAAUUCGUGAAGUCAAAUGAUCAGCUUGAUCUUCACCAAGUCCCUCACCGGUCCUCGUAUUAAUUACAUCUGUAACAAGCUACGUACAUAUGAUUUGUAUAGACCAGCUUGAGGGGGAGUGUUAGAAUAGAAAUAAGUAUAUACAAUCCUAAUUAGAAUAGGAAUAGGAAUAAAAAUAGGAAUCUUAGUUGGAAAAGGAUUCCAAUGUAGUGUCUAUAAAUAAGGUCUCAAUGUAAUAAUGUAGAUACACAAUUCAAUAAUAUUUUUCUCCUAUAUUUCUCACAUCCUCCUUGAGCAUGCCGCUCCAUUUGUAUCAAUCUAAUGUUUGAGGAUCAAUAUUUGAAGAAUGAGACCAUUAACAAGUCAAUCUCAACUAAUUGGGUAUCAUUUGAAUGGAUCCUUCACUUCUAUCAUAUUAUGUUCUUAACUGAGUGUCUAUUGAUUCCAGAGAUCUAGAACCCUCGUGAUAUAAUCUCCAUAAUCUUAACUUGUGUUACUUGCACUCUCUAUCAGUUGUUACCGUUUGCAAUAUUGGCCACAAAUUUAUAAAUCACAUAUUCAACAUUAGAUUCACAUUUUGGAAUGUUACAGAAUCUAUUUAAUAAUGUAUAUAGAUAAUGUUAGAAUAGAAAUAUGUAUAUAUAUUCCUACUUAGAAUAGGAAGAAGAAUAGGAAUAGGAAUCCUAGUUAGAAAAGGAUUUCAAUGUAUUGUCUAUAAAUAGAGUCUCAAUGUAACAAUUUAAAUACACAAUUCAAUAUUAUUUUUCCCAUAUAUUUCUCACAUGGUAUCAAAGCAUUGGUGAGAAACUUCAAGUCACCAUGUCAAAUUCCGGCGACGAUGGUUGGGACUGAUUUGUGUCAUCUUUCGUUCUGAAGGUGUUGUGCGAAAGACAACACCAUCACGAGGCUCGGGAAGCUCAGGCGACCGAACCCCAAGCAGAUCCACCGGAAAACAACCCCCAACGCGCCGUUCGGAGGUGGAAGUUUUUCGGCAAGAUCUGUUCACGCGUGAGUGCUGCUCCGGUCAUCUUUUUUCAAGUUGUUUUCUUCUGUUGGGGUCGCCCAGUAUUUCCGACAAGAACCCAUUCAGUUUUCUCUAGAUCCGAUCACCAGAAUUAGGGUUCCGGUGAUUUUCAAGCAGUUUCCGGCAAGUUCCCGGCGAAAUCAGAAUUUUCAAGCCACUGUGGGUAGAUUCCGACAGUUUCCAGUGAGCUUCUUACUCUUUUCAAGUCAAAUUUCGAAAAAUGUCUUUCGGGUGUGAUGUUUUUUGGCUCCAAAAAUACGGGGAUUGGAAGUUCAAGACUUACAAUCACUUCAGAACCAUUAAUGGGAAGUUCAAACUAUUUAGCUUGGGCUUCUUCAGUUGAGUUGUGGUGCAAGGGUCAAGGUGUUCAAGAUCACUUUGGCGAAAAGACAAAGUCUAGUGACGAAGGUGCAAAAGCCAAAGCACAAUGGGAGAAAGUGGAUGCCCAAUUAUGUAGUCUCCUUUGGUGCUCUAUUGAUUCUAAGUUGAUGCCCUUGUUUCGCCCAUUCCAGACAUGUUAUUUAGUUUGGGAAAAGGCACGUGCUUUAUACACUAAUGACAUAUCUCGAUUCUAUGAUGUGAUAUCUCGGAUGACCAACUUAAAGAAACAAGAAUCCGAUAUGUCUACUUACUUGGGACAAGUACAGGAAGUCAUGGAGGAAUUUGAAACGUUGAUGCCUAUCACUACAAACGAGGAAAAGCAACAAGAGCAAAGGCAGACAUUGUUUCUAGUUCUUACACUUGCUGGACUUCCUACUGACCAUAACUCUGUGCGUGACCUUUUUCUAGCCAGUCCUACAGUUCCAUCAAUUGAUGAAUUAUUCUCUCGUCUGCUUCGUCUUGUUGCACCUCCCUGUCAUAAAGAAGUUUCAUCACCCAUUGUUGACUCCUCUAUUCUCGCAUCUCAAACCACAGAAAAGCGUACAUACCAGUCUAUGGAGAAUCGGCGAGGGGGAGGGCAUUUUGGGAAACCUCGAUCCAAAUGUAGUCAUUGUCAUAAACUUGGACACACUCGUGAUAUAUGUUAUAUUUUACAUGGUCCACCACCCAGUUAUGAUCCUAUUGUUCUCAAGGAAUAUAAUGAGUUCCUUCGAAAUCGUGCAAGUAAACAGACAUCUCCACCAGUAGCAUAUGGUGCUCAACCUAAUCAACCAUCCAAUAAUGCUCAUAUUGCACAGACAGAAUAUGACAAACGUCUCCACAAGUAGUUUCGAUUGCACAACCUGAUGUUUUUGUUGCGGGUAAUUCUUUUGCUUGCGUGUCACAGUCUAGUACUCUUGGAUCAUGGGUCAUGGACUCAGGGGCUUCUGAUCAUAUCUCUGGUAAUAAAUCACUUUUGUCCAAUAUUGUUUAUUCACAAUCUCUUCCAGCUAUUACUUUAGCCAAUGGGAUCCAAACAAAACCAAAAGGGGUUGGAAAAGCCAAACCCCUAUCUUAUGUCACCCUAGACUCUGUUCUUUAUGUCUCUGGUUCUCCUUUUAAGCAUCUGUUAGUCGUUUGACAAAGGCUCUACAUUGUAGCAUAACUUUUUUUGAUGACUUUUUUCUCAUGCAGGACCGCAGUACAGGACAGACGAUUGUUCGGAACAGGACAAGAAUCACAAGGCCUUUACUACCUUGCCUCUUCAAAUUUCUUGAAAGCAUGCUCCGUUACAGAUUCCCUAGAUCUAAUUCACAAACGUUUGGGACAUCCGAGUCUGUCCAAACUGCAAAAGAUGGUGCCUAGUUUGUCUAGUUUAUCCAAAUUAGAUUGUGAGUCGUGUCAACUUGGGAAACACACCCGUGCUACAUUUUCACGUAGUACUGAGGGUCGUUCAGAGUUUAUAUUUUCAUUAGUUCAUUCUGAUAUUUGGGGUCCUAGUAGAGUCAAUUCCACCUUAGGAUUUCGUUAUUUUGUUAGUUUCAUUGAUGAUUAUUCAAGAUGUACUUGGGUUUUCUUAAUGAAGAUCAUUCUUGAGUUAUUUUCUAUAUUCAAAAGUUUCUUUGCUGAAAUACAAAAUCAAUUUGGUGUUUCUAUUCGUACUUUUCGUAGUGAUAAUGCCUUAGAAUACUUAUCCUCCCAAUUUCAGGAGUUUGACUCACCAAGGCAUUAUUCACCAGACUACUUGUCCAUACACCCCUCAACAGAACGGUGUAGCAGAAAGGAAAAAUAGGCAUCUUAUUGAGACUGCUCGUACUCUUCUCCUUGAAUCCCAUGUUCCGCUGCGUUUUUGGGGAGAUGCAGUUCUUACGUCUUGUUAUUUAAUAAAUAGAAUGCCCUCAUCUUCUAUUCAAAAUCAGGUUCCACAUUCCAUUCUGUUUCCUGAGUCAUAUCUCUAUCCUAUCCCCCCUCGUGUCUUUGGGAGUACAUGCUUUGUUCAUAACUUAUCCCCAGGGAAAUAUAAAUUAGCCCCUCGUGCCCUCAAAUGUGUCUUUCUUGGUUACUCUCGAGUUCAAAAGGGUAUCGAUGUUAUUCACAUGAUCUUCAUCGUUACCUUAUGUCCACUGAUGUUACAUUCUUUGAGUCUCAACCUUACUAUACGUCUUCUGAUCAUCUUGAUCUAUAUAUGGUCUUACCUAUACCUCAAGUUUUACCUGUACCAACUUUUGAGGAAUCUACGGUUACUUCUACAUCUCCAGUUGUAGUGCCACCACUCCUAACUUAUCAUCGCCGUCCGCGUCCAGCGUUAGUCCCAAAUGAUUCAUGUCAUGCGCCAGACCCUGCUCGUACUGCGGACUUGCCUCCUCCUAGCCAACCGCUUGCACUUCAAAAAGGUAUACGAUCCACUCGAAAUACUAACCCUCAUUAUACCUUCUUGAGUUAUUGUUGAAUGAGUAGGCAGAUUUAGUCAUAAUCUACUCCACCAUUGAGCUGGCAGAUUUGAUUAUAAUCUGCUCCACAAAGAAAGCUGGCAAAUUUGAUUAGAAUCUGCUCCUGUGAAUAUGGGAUUAGAAUAUAUUAUUCUAGGAAAAUAGUUAAGAGGAAAUCCAUUGAUUCAAGGAUUUCCUAAGAAUUAGGGAUUGAUUAGUUUAAUUGGUCUUUACUUGUUCUCUUAUAAAUAUUGUACAAACACUAUGAAUAAAAUAUACUUUUGCAGUAUCUAAACUUUCAUGGUAUCAGAGCGGGACUUUUUCCCCUAAUAUCAUAUGGGUAAAACAGCCUUCUCAUGGAGAGUAUCUUUCUGAAACAUCAACAGAAGACAAAAGUUCUUCUCUGGAAGCUCCUGCAGAAAAUCUNNNNNNNNNNNNNNNNNNNNNNNNNNNNNNNNNNNNNNNNNNNNNNNNNNNNNNNNNNNNNNNNNNNNNNNNNNNNNNNNNNNNNNNNNNNNNNNNNNNNNNNNNNNNNNNNNNNNNNNNNNNNNNNNNNNNNNNNNNNNNNNNNNNNNNNNNNNNNNNNNNNNNNNNNNNNNNNNNNNNNNNNNNNNNNNNNNNNNNNNNNNNNNNNNNNNNNNNNNNNNNNNNNNNGAGACAUAUUCAGAUGUAGAAAAUGCCUCUCAAAUUUUUGAGUUAAAAAUUAAACUAUGGCAAGCUAAGCAGGGUGAGAAUGAAGUCACUACUUAUUAUAAUGAAAUGGUGUCCUUGUGGAGUUAGACCAGUGUUACAAUGAUGAAUGAGAGUGUUCUGUGGAUAGUGUGAAAGAGAAAAAAAAGGAAGAAAAUGAGAGAGUUUACCUUUUUUUAGCAGGAUUAAACCGAGAGUUUGACAAGGUCAGGUCACGAAUCCUAGGAAAAAAUCCUCUGCCCUCACUUCGUGAAACAUUUUCUGAAGUUAGGAGAGAGGAAACUAGGAGGAAAGUUAUGUUAAAACCUGAUUUAAAUGUUGAACUAAAACCUGUUAUAGACUCUUCAGCUCUUAUAAGAGUGAAGAAUGGAGAGGACAAAAACAAAAGGCCAUGGUGUGAUCAUUGCAAAAAAUAUUGGCACACCCGUGAAACAUGUUGGAAGAUUCAUGGAAACCACUAAACUGGAAGAAAAAGGGAGUUGAUGAUUGUGGCUUUCAAUCUCAAAAUGGUCAGGCCCUCCAAACAACUUAUUUUGAUCAGGGGCAGCAACCUUCUCCAGAAACAUCUCCAUUUACAAGGGAACAAUUGGAAAUUCUGCACAAACUCCUUCAAUCUCCACAAUUUCGUGCAAAUGCACAAAAUUCUUCUAAUCCUUCCUGUUCUUUUGCUCAAAUAGGUACUGUAUCGUCUGCUUUUCUUAGUACCAAUUCCAAUCAAAUAGAUUCUUGGAUCAUAGAUUCAGGAGCUAGUGACCACAUGACUGGAAGUUCCCGUUUUUUCUCUACAUACACUCCUUGUGCAGGGAACAAUAAAAUCAAGAUAGCUGAUGGUUCCUUCUCUGCAAUUGCUGGAAAAGGAACUAUUAAGCUAUCACCAUCUCUUAUACUUCAUGAUACUCUUCAUGUUCCAAAGCUCUCUUGUAAUCUAGUUUCUGUCAGUAAAUUAACCCGUUCUCUUAAUUGUCGUGCUAUUUUUGAUUCCGAUUUGUGUGAAUUUCAGGAAAAGGUCUCGGGGAAGAUGAUUGGCAGUGCUAGAGAAUCAGGAGGUCUUUAUUUUCUUGACAACAGGAACAACUCACUACAACUGAAUCCUAUUUGUUUGAACUCUACUUUUGUUUUGAAUAAAGUCAUGCUUUGGCACUAUAGGCUUGGAAAUCCAAGUUUUUAUUAUUUAAGACAUUUGUUACCUCAGUUAUUUAGAAAUAAAAAUCCAUACUUAUUCCAAUGUGAAUUUUGUGAAAUGGCUAAGCAUCACCGAUCUUCUUUUCCUUCUCAAAGAUAUCAGGCUUCAAAACCUUUUACAAUGAUUCAUAGUGAUGUUUGGGGUCCGUCUAGAAUCUCAACAAUGUUUGGGAAACGGUGGUUUGUAUAUUUUAUUGACGAUCAUACUAGAUUGAGUUGGGUUUUUUUAUUGAAGGACAAAUCUGAGGUUAAAAAUGUGUUUGAGACUUUCUAUGUCAUGGUGGAAACACAGUUCAAUGAGAAAAUCAAGAUUUUUCGGAGUGAAAAUGGCCGUGAAUUUUUUAAUGAACAAUUGGGAAGUUUUUUAGAAAAACUGGGGUAGUACACCAAAGCUCUUGUCCAGAUACACCUCAACAAAAUGGUAUCGCCGAAAGAAAGAAUAGACACCUUUUAGAGGUAACGAGAGCUUUAAUGUUUACUAGUAAAGUUCCACAACACCUUUGGGGAGAGGCUCUCUUGACUGCCACUUACCUUAUUAAUAGGAUGCCAUCUCACCCUCUUGAAUUUAAGACACCUUUUAAAGUUUUCAAAGAAAGUUUUCCUAGUUCUAGGUUAACUACAGAUCUGCCUCUGAGGGUUUUUGGUUGUACAACAUUUGUUCAUGUCCAUAAUCGUAGUAAACUUGAACCGCAGGCUAAGAAGUGUAUUUUUGUAGGAUAUGCCCCAAGUCAAAAGGGAUAUAAGUGUUAUGAUCCACAUGCUAGGAAGACAAUUGUUACAAUGGACCUAACUUUCUUUGAGUCGCAACUCUGUUUUACUACUCAUCUUCAGGGGGAGUAUCAUGUAGAUGAAGAUUCUUUUUUUUGUGAUAUUGAGGAAACUAGAUAUCAAGCAAAUGAAGAGCCUGAUAUUACAAUAAAUACUGAUGUGAGAGAUGUAGGAGAAGAUAUGAAUAAGUGUGAUCCAAGAGAUGAUAAGGACCAAAGUGACUUAAAUGAUAAAAACUCAGAAAUUGAACUUGAACCUGUAGCGCCUUCAAAUGACAAAAAUAAAAUGGGAAUAGAGAACAAAAAACAGAAAUGCAGGUGUAUUCGAGAAGGAACUGAACUCAAGAAAAAAAGACCGAAGAUUCUCAACACUGCCAAAAAUCAGUCCCACCAGACCUCACUGUAAUUCAAGGUACUCUUCCAACUAAUUCUAUUUCUAAUUCCUUAGAUCUAGAUCUACCUAUUGCGAAACGCAAAGGUGUUAGAUUUACUUCUAAAUAUCCUAUGUCUAUGUUUGUGUCCUACAAAAAGUUGUCUCCUAGUUAUUCAGCCUUUACUUCACAACUCUCUAGUGUGGAGAUUCCAACAAAUGUGCAUGAUGCUCUACAAGUUCCCGAGUGGAAGGAGGCUAUUUUGGAGGAAUUGCGAGCUCUUGAAACAAAUGAGACAUGGGAGUUAGUGGAUUUACCCGAGGGAAAGAAACCAGUGGGUUGUAAAUGGGUGUUCACCACCAAACUCAAAUCAGACGGAUCCUUGGAAAGGUAUAAGGCCCGCCUAGUAGCUAAGGGAUUCACGCAGACAUAUGCUAUUGACUAUCUCGAGACGUUUGCUCCAGUAGCUAAGCUAAACUCAAUUAGAGUUCUGUUGACAAUCGCAGUAAAUCUCGACUGGUCUCUUUAGCAAUUGGAUAUGAAGAAUGUUUUCUUGAACGGGCACCUAGAGGAAGAAGUCUAUAUGGAUCCCCCACCAGGUUUUGAUGGGAAGUACAAGUCAAAGAUAUGUAGGCUUAGAAGAUCUCUUUAUGGUCUAAAACAAUCUCCAAGGGCUUGGUUCGAAAGGUUUACUCAAUUUGUGAAAAAGCAAGGGUAUGUGCAGGGACAAGCAGAUCACACAAUGUUUACUCGACAUUCACUGGAAGGAAAACAACCGUUCUUAUAGUGUAUGUUGACGAUAUUAUCCUCACAGGAGAUGAUGUGGUUGAGAUAAAAAAUCUAAGGGAACGCCUUGCCUUAGAAUUUGAGAUAAAGGACUUAGGCCCGCUAAAGUACUUUCUUGGCAUGGAGGUUGCACGAUCGAAGAAAGGAAUUAUAGUGUCACAAAGGAAGUAUGUUCUUGAUCUGUUAAAAGAAACAGGAAUGAGUGGUUGUAGACCAAUUGAAACUCCAAUUGAUCCAAAUCUGAAAUUUGUAAAGGAAGGAAAAUUGAUUUAUAAGGGCCAAUAUCAGAGAUUGGUAGGCAAGUUGAUUUACUUGUCACAUACUAGACCUGAUAUUUCCUUUGUUGUGAGCCUAGUCAGUCAGUUCAUGCAUUCUCCACGAGAAGAACACCAAGAAGUUGUGUAUCUAAUCCUAAGGUAUCUAAAAAGUUCACCUGGGAAAGGGUUGUUCUUCAAGAAGAAUGAGCAAAGAAGUCUUGAGGCUUAUACGGAUGCAGAUUGGGCUGGUUCAUCUAUUGAUAGGAGGUCUACAUCUGGAUAUUGUACAUUUGUUUGGGAAAUUUGGUGACAUGGAGAAGUAAGAAGCAAAAUGUGGUGGCUCGAAGUAGUGCUGAGGCUGAGUAUCGAUCCAUGGCACACGGAAUUUGUGAAAUAUUGUGGCUCAAGAGAUUUUUGGAAGAACUAAGAAGACCUGUGAGUUUUCCAAUGAAGUUGUAUUGUGACAAUAAGGCUGCCAUAAGCAUUGCUCAUAAUCCAGUUCAACAUAAUAGAACAAAGCAUGUUGAAGUGGACAGACACUUCAUUGAAGAGAAGAUUGAAGAUGGAAGUGUGUGCAUUCCUUUUGUGCCAACAACAGAACAAGUUGCAGAUAUUUUCACAAAAGGUCUUUUCAGAACUACUUUUGAGUCCUUUGUGAGCAAGUUAGGCAUGUUUGAUAUUUACAUGCCAACUUGAGGGGGAGUGUUGAAUGAGUAGGCAGAUUUAGUCAUAAUCUGCUCCACCAUUGAGCUGGCAGAUUUGAUUAGAAUCUGCUCCACAAAUAAAGCUGGCAGAUUUGAUUAGAAUCUGCUCCACAAAUAAAGCUGGCAGAUUUGAUUAGAAUCUGCUCCACAAAUAAAGCUGGCAGAUUUGAUUAGAAUCUGCUCCACAAAUAAAGCUGGCAGAUUUGAUUAGAAUCUGCUCCACAAAUAAAGCUGGCAGAUUUGAUUAGAAUCUGCUCCACAAAUAAAGCUGGCAGAUUUGAUUAGAAUCUGCUCCACAAAUAAAGCUGGCAGAUUUGAUUAGAAUCUGCUCCACAAAUAAAGCUGGCAGAUUUGAUUAGAAUCUGCUCCACAAAUAAAGCUGGCAGAUUUGAUGAGAAUCUGCUCAUGUGAAUAUGGGAUUAGAAUAUAUUAUUCUAGGAAAAUAGUUUAGAGGAAAUCCCUUGAUUCAAGGAUUUCCUAAGAAUUAGGGAUUGAUUAGUUUAAUUGGUCUUUACUUGUUCUCUUAUAAAUAUUGUACAAACACUAUGAAUAAAAUAUACUUUUGCAGUAUCUAAACUUUCAGUUAUCAUCGUCUAUCAUCACCCAAUUAUGCCUCUGUAUCGUCUUUGUCCUCUAUCUCCAUUUCUAAGACUACAGGUGAAGCACUUUCUCAUUCUGGAUGGAGGCAGGCUAUGGUUGAUGAGAUGUCUGUUUUGCAUAAGAGUGGUACUUGGGAGCUUGUCUCUCUUCCUGCAGGUAAAUCUACCGUUGGUUGUCGUUGGGUUUAUGCAGUCAAAAUUGAUCUAGACGGUCAGGUUGAUCGGCUCAAGGCUCGCCUUGUUGGCAAAGGGUAUACUCAGAUAUUUGGGCUAGAUUAUAGUGACACUUUUGCCCCUGUGGCUAAAAUAGCAUAUGUUCGUCUUUUUCUAUCUAUGGUUGUCAUUCGUCAUUGGUCUCUUCAUCAGUUGAACAUUAAGAAUGCUUUUUUGCAUGAUGAUCUUGAGGAGGAAGUCUAUAUGGAGCAACCACCUGGUUUUGUUGCUCAGGGGGAGUCUAGUAGCCUUGUAUGUCGAUUGCGUAGGUCACUUUAUGGUCUGAAGCAGUCUCCUAGAGCUUGGUUUGGGAAGUUCAGCACAGUUAUUCAACAAUUUGGCAUGACUCAUAGUGGAGCUGAUCACUCUGUGUUUUAUCGACAUUCUGCAACAAAUCGAUGUAUCUAUUUGGUUGUGUACGUUGAUGAUAUUGUUAUUACUGGUAAUGAUCAAGAUGGUAUCACCAAAUUGAAGCAGCAUCUCUUUAAGCACUUCCAAACUAAAGACCUUGGCUAAAGACCUUGGCAGAUUGAAGUAUUUUCUCGGUAUUGAGGUUGCUCAGUCUAGAUCAGGUAUUGUUAUAUCUCAACGCAAGUAUGCCUUAGACAUUCUUGAGAAGACGGGAAUGAUGGGAUGUAGACCUAUUGACACUCCUAUGGAUCCUUCUAGGACAGGGGGAGCCACUUAGUAAUCCUGAAAGGUAUAGACGACUCGUUGGAAAAUUGAAUUAUCUCACAGUAACUAGACCUGACAUCUCUUUUCCUGUGAGUGUUGUAAGUCAGUUUAUGACUUCGCCUUGUAAUAGUCAUUGGGAUGCAGUUGUUCGUAUCCUGCGAUAUAUAAAGUCAGCUCCUGGUAAAGGACUACUCCAUGAGGAUCGAGGCCAUGAGCAUAUCACUGGAUAUACAGACGCUGAUUGGGCAAGAUCACCCUCUGAUAGACGUUUGACAUCCGGAUAUUGUGUUUUAGUAGGAGGUAAUUUGGUGUCGUGGAAAAGUAAGAAACAAAGUGUGGUUGCUCGAUCUAGUGCAGAAUCAGAAUAUCGAGCAAUGGCGACAGCAACUUGUGAGCUAGUUUGGAUCAAACAGUUGCUGGGAGAACUAAAAUUUGGCAAAGUUGAUCAGAUGGAACUUGUGUGUGAUAAUCAAGCGGCUCUUCAUAUCGCAUCAAAUCCAAUAUUUCAUGAAAACACUAAGAACAUUAAGAUUGACUAUCACUUUGUCAGAGAAAAGAUACUCUCAGGAGAUAUUGUUACGAAAUUUGUGAAGUCAAAUGAUCAGCUUGCAGAUAUCUUCACCAAGUCCCUCACAGGUCCUCGUAUUAAUUACAUUUGUAACAAGCUAGGUACAUAUGAUUUGUAUGCACCGGCUUGAGGGGGAGUGUUAGAAUAGAAAUAUGUAUAUAUAUUCCUACUUAGAAUAUGAAGAAGAAUAGAAAUAGGAAUCCUAAUUAGAAAAGGAUUUCAAUGUAUUGUCUAUAAAUAGGGUCUCAAUGUAACAAUUUAGAUACACAAUUCAAUAUUAUUUUUCCCAUAUAUUUCUCACAGAUAAUAUAGCCGAUUCUUAGGGAUUUGAAUAUUUAGUUACCAUAGUUAGCUUAUACUCUCCAUGUAUUAAUAUCAUUGUUCUCUUUGAGUAAUAUACAAAUUAUUCUCAAUAUCUUAUGAAUUACAUGGUAUCAGAGCCAAUGUUGAGUUGGUAUUUUUUCUUUGCCAGAAGUCACUAUGACUUCGCCAGAAUCCACUGUGGCUUCACCGGAAGUGAUUGAGAUUUCCAAAAUCUCUGUCACCACCCACUUAGCUACUUCCCACCAUCUUAAACUCCUAGAUCUCGGCAGCUGGAAGUCACUCGUGUGAGAGUCACGCUCCACUAUUACCCUUUCCGGUGAGACUGCAGUAGUGAUGCUGCAUCAGAUUUGGUGGUUGUUUGUUCAACAGACCACUACGAUUUGGGAGACUUGCUUGUUUCUGACCAAUAAUCGGGUGGUCUCUCUGUGUCGGGCAACUCCUGGUAGUGUUUUGACAUUUUUUUCCUAGGGAUUUCUGCUAAUAUUUGAUGUUUCGAGUUCACUCAUGUCGUACAAUUUUUACUGGCAUUGGGAUUUUGUUGUAGCAUCAUCAAGUUUUGCUCUUCAAUCAACACUUCUACUUGGCUAUUUAUUUGAUGAUUUUCUGAUUUUUCAGGAGCUAUUUUUGGGUCUCUGAUUUGUUGGAUAGCUAGCCUUGAGUGGAAUUGGUGUGGGGAAGAACUGUUACUUUGAUUAUUGAUCCAAAAUAGGUUACUGUCUAUCUUGGGUAUUGUCUAAUUUUAAGAUAUAAUCUGGUUGGACUAGUUGGUUUCUCCAUCAAUUCAUUUUGGUAUAGUAAGUAUUUUUGUUGGGAAAAUGACCGACUGUAAUUAGAGAACUCAAAGGUCUAAAGUUGUCCAUCAAUUCAUUUUGGUAUAGUAAGUAUUUUUGUUGGGAAAAUGACCGACUAUAAUUAGAGAAUUCAAAGGUCUAAAGUUGUUGGUGCUUGUAGUCCAUUAUCUAACAAAAUGGUCCUAAUUUCGGCAGAGGAGUUUAUUAAAUUCUCUCAAUACCAUAAAUUCUUGAAGGAUCCACUUAAGUUAAUUCCUUUGUUGAAUCAAAUGAAACAUAUCUUAUCACCUCUUCAAAUAAACGGGAUUUUGAUUCGGGUGCCACAAAUCACAUGACAGGUAAUCAUAAUAUUUUUCUUGCUUUCAAGCACACAGAGCACCCUCUCUGAUUACCAAAGCUGAUGGAUCAACUUGCAACAGUGUUGGAUAUGGGACGGUUAGACUAAUCUUUUCUAUUACUCUAUCAUUUGUAUUAAGUCUACCAAAGUUGGCCUUUAAUUUAUUUUUGUUAGCCAAGUUACUAAGUUACUGGAGACUUUAAUUGUUAUAUUUCAUUCUUUCCCAAUCAUUGUUUGUUUCGCGAUCAUAAGACGAAUCAGGUUAUUGGUAAAGGACAUGUAUUUAACAAUCUCUACUUCCUUGAUGAAUGGGAGCCUAGAUUUGUUGCCUGCUCUACUGUUGUGUCUCUAUAUGAAGCACAUUAUCGGUUGAGACAUCUUUCUCUACCACUAUUAAAGAAGUAAUGUCCUCAAUUUCAUAAUACUUCUUCAUUAGAAUAUGAGUCAUGUCACCCCCAAGGCCUAGCUCAAAUGGCAAAAGGUGGAGGAUUUGUGGCUUAGGUCACAGGUUCAAGCCCCACACCAUGCAAAGCGAAGCCCGGUAUUUAAGUGGAGAAGGGUAGUGGGGCGGGCCCAUUAUCUCCGGAGUUUAGAAGGCUGUGAUUGGUCCAAAGGGCGGGUCACAGACGGAUUUCUCGGUUAUCAAAAAAAAAAGAAUGUGAGUCAUGUCGAUUUGCAAAACGUCAUCGCAACUCAUUAAGUCCAAGGGUUAAUAAGCAGGUCAGCUUUUGAGUUAGUUCAUUCUAAUAUUUGGGGACCAUAUCCUGUCAUUUCCAAAUUUGGGCAUAAGUAUGUUGUUACUUUUGUGGAUGACUUGGAUUUCUUCUAUGCAGAUCUGCUCGAAAGUGUUUACUCACUUUUGUGCCUUCUGUGUUGAAGUCAAAAUACAAUUCAAUGCUUUGGUACGUAUUCUAAGGAGUGACAAUUCAUAUGAGACAACAGGCAUUCUCCAUCAGUCUUCAUACGUCGAUACACCUUCUCAAAAUGGAGUUGCUGAGAGGAAGAAUAGGCACUUACUUGAGACAGCUCGAGCUCUUUUAUUCCAAAUGAAGGUUCCUAAACAACUUUGGGCAGAUGUGAUCUCUCCAACUUGUUUUUUGAUUAAGUGCAUGCAAUCUAUUGUGUUUGGAAGCACAUGUUAUGUUCGAGAUGUUCGACCAUCUGUUACCAAGUUGAAUGCAAAAGCAUUGAAGUGUGUUUUUCUGGGCUAUUCUCACCUUCAAAAGGGGUAUUGAUGUUAUUCUACCAAACUUAGCAAAUAUUUGGUGUCAACUAAUGUGGUAUUUUCAGAGACUACCCCGUUCUUCUAUGCACCUCCUUUUUCUACAAGUCAAGGAGAGAAAAAUGAGUGGUUAGUCUAUCAGGUCACUCAUGUUUUGACAAAAGAAUCAGAUGUUGUCCCUCCAUCUCUCAAUUUUUCUAUUAAGGACCAAUCGACUAUUGUUUCAGAAGCUCCUUCUCCAUUUGAUGUGGCAAGACCGCCAAUUGUUCAAGUUUACUCGAAGAGGCGAGGGGUUGAUGAUACAUGUCUUGCACCAAUUCCUUUGUCAUUAGAUCCUCAUUCAUCUGAUCCUCCACAAGAUCUUGACCUCCCUAUUGCUCUUCGCAAAGGUACACAUAGUUUCAAAUCCUGGUAUUCCAUUAGUAAUUUGUUUCCUAUGGCCACUUAUCCUCUAUGUCUAGAUCUUUGAUUGAUUACUUCUCUAGACUCUAUUUCUAUACCCAAAAGGCCUUGAAUCAUUCUGGAUGGUCUGAUGCAAUGCUUGACGAAAUACAUGCCUUAGAAGAAAAUCACAUGUGGGAUUUAGUGGAUUAACCCAAGGGAAAGAAAUUAGUGGGAUGUAAUUGGGUCUUCAUAGUGAAAGUUAAGAUGGAACUAUAGCAAGACUUAAAGUUAGACUUGUAGCUGAAGGGUAUGCUCAAACAUAUGGGGAAGAUUAUUCACACAUUCUCCCCAGUUGCCAAGGUCAUUUAUGUCCGCUUAUUCAUUUCUCUAGUUGCUUCUGAGAAUUGGCCUUUACAUAAGUUAGAUAUUUUUUUAUUUUUUUUCGAUGACCUAGAAAUCCGUCUGUGACCUGCCCUUUGGACCAAUCACAGUCUUCUAAACUCGGUGGAUAAUGGACCCGCCCCUCUACCCUUCUCCACUUAAAUACCAGGCUUCGCUUUGCAUGGUGUGGGGCUUGAACCUGCGACCUAAGCCACAAAUCCUCCAUUUUUUGCCACUUGAGCUAGGCUUGGGGGCCAUAAGUUAGAUAUUAAGAAUGCAUUCUUUCAUGGUGGUCUUCGAGAAGAUGUGUAUAUGGAGCAAAACCACCUGGUUUUAUUGCUCAGGGGGAGUAUGGGGAGUCUGUCAUAUGAAGAAGUCCUUGUAUGGAUUGAAGCAGAGUCCUCGAGCUUGGUUUGGAAAGUUCAAUAAGGUAGUUCAGAAUUUUGGGAUGAAAAUGAGCAAAUGUAAUCACUCGUUCUUUUACCAACAACCAACAUCUGGCACUAUCCUCCUUGUUGUAUAUGUUGAUGACAUUGUCAUCACAGUAAGUGAUUAUGUGGGAAUCUCUUCCCUCAAAUCUUUCUUGCAUACUAGGUUUCAUACAAAUGACUUGGGUCCGUCGAAAUACUUUUUGAGAGUAGAAGUAAACAGAAGCAAGAAGAGAAUUCUUCUGUCUUAGAGAAGUAUAUCCUUGACCUGCUUGCAGAUAUCAGAAAGUUAGCAGCCAAACCCUGUAGUACUCCAAUGGUUCCCAAUGUGCAUUUUAUGAAAGAUGAUGGUGAUUCUUUUGAUGAUCUCGAGAGAUAUAGAAGGUUAGUUGGGAAGUUAAACUACCUUAUUGUGACUCGUCCAGAUAUUGCUUUUGCGAUAAGUGUUGUUAGCCAAUUCGUGUCUGCACCUACGAUCAAACAUUAGGAAGCUUUGGAACAGAUCCUAUGUUACUUAAAAGGAGCUCCUAGACUUGGCAUAUUGUAUAGCAAUCACGAUCAUACUCGUGUGGAGUGUUUUGGAGAUGCUGGACUUGGCAUAUUGUAUAGCAAUCACGGUCAUACUCGUGUGGAGUGUUUUGCAGAUGCUGACUAGGCUGGAUCCAAAAUUGAUAGAAGAUCUACUACAGUCUAUUGUGUUUUUGUUGGAGGGAACCUAGUAUCAUAAAGGAGUAAGAAUUAAGGUAUUGUAUCUCGAUCCAAUGCACAAUCUGAAUAUAGAGCUAUGUUACAGUCUAUAUGUGGAUACAUCAUCUUUUAUCUGAAAUUGGGUUGAAACAUCAUACCCUAGCAUAACUCUAGUGUGAUAAUCAAGCUUCUCUUCAUAUUACCUCAAAUCCGGUGUAUCGCGAAAGAACUAAACAUAUUGAAGUUGAUUGUUGUUUUAUUCGUGAGAAGAUUCAGGAGAAUUUGAUUUCCUUUGGCUAUGUGAAGACAAGAGACCAACUAACUGAUUUGUUUACAAAAGCGUUGAAUGGAACUCGAGUUGAUUACCUUUGUAACAAGCUGGGCAUGAUCAAUAUCUAUGUUCCAGCUUGAGGGGGAGUGCUACAGAAUCUGUAUAAUAAUGAAUAUAGAUAAUAUAGUUGAUUUUAGGGAUUUGAAUAUUUCGUUACCAUAGUUGGCUUAUUCUCUCCAUGUAUUUAUAUCAUUGUUCUCUUUGAGUAAUGUACAAGUUAUUCUCAAUACCAUACGAAUUAUAUGGAAUUUUCACAACACAUGUGUUUGGCCUAAUCAACAUUGAAUUCACAUUUUCAAUUCAUUAGACAAAAGUUCAACAUGUCACACACGUUGUCCAUUCUAACCAAUGGAAAAUUGAUAAUUUAAUCAUCUUCUUGAUUAAAGUAGGUGUCUCAUCAUAAAUGUUAGAACAUGAAUAGGUUUAUACAAUCCUAUUAGAAUAGAAAUAGGUUUAUACAAUCCUAUUUAGAAUAAGAAUAGGAAUAGUAAAUAGUAUUAGUAGGUAAAGGUUUGUAUUCUACUGUCUAUAAAUAUGAUCUCAAUGUAAUAAUGUACACACAACAGCAAUUCAAUAAUAUUCUUCUCUUAUAUUUCUCACAUGGUAUCAGAGCCUCUACGAUCUUGGUAGAGAAUCAAAGAGCUUUCGCAGCCGACGGGUGGCUAUUACCCAUAUAUGUUGUCCGUCUGGCCAAUGAUUAUGUUAACAAAAGUAGGAUCAAUGAUAUAUGCAUGAACAUAUUCAAGGGAAGAAAACUCAGUUAAACAGGUCACCGUGCGUCAAUUUCCGGUGAUUUUCUAGGACUGUUUUAUGUCCACCCCAUAUCUGUCGGUAUUUGUGUAGCACUGUGCCAUCUUUUCGGUGACUAAUUUUUCAUAUUUAAUUUGUGUAGCACCGUUCCAUCUUUCUGGUGACUACCUUUUUUUGCAUAUUUGAUUUGUGUAGCACCGUGCAUCUCUCUGGACUACUUUUCAUAUUUAAUUUGUGUAGUAUCGUGGAUUUUUCCGAACUACUUUCUCACAUCUAAGUUGCAUAGCACCGUGUGUCUUUUCAGUGACUCCUAAGAUUUGAUUUAUUUGAUUUGCAUAGUUCCAUUCGUCUUUCCGGUGACUCCUCAAAUCUGAUUUCUGUAGGGUUGUGCCAUCACUCUGACCCUACCCAUAUUAUUUCUCUUUUCCAAUAGGGUCGUGCCAUCAAUCCGACCUUUCCUAAAUAAUUUCUAUUUUCUAGUUGGGUCGUGCCAUUAUUCCGACCCUACCCAUAUAAUUUUAUUUCUUAGAUUAUGACCACUUUCAGCCAUCAAAUCUAAUACUCCGGCGUAUGAGCAUGUUUCGGCCAAUUUUUGGUGACUUUCUUGUUUAAUAUAGACUCAUCUAUUGAUUCCAACACGAUAUAUAUACUUUACUUUAUACUAGAUUUUGAGCACUUUGUUGCUCGGGGGAAUUUAGUGCCUUGUAUGUCGAUUAUGUGAGUCACUCUAUGGUCUGAAACAGUCUUUGCAAGUUUAGUUUGGGAAGUUCAACACUGUAAUUUUAUCACUCUGUGUUUUAUUGACAUUAUGCAUCAAAUUUAGUAUUUCAUGAGAAAAUUAAGCACAUUGAGAUUGACUGACAUUAUGCGUCAAAUCCAAUAUUUAAUGAGAAGACAAGCACAUUGAGAUUGACGGUCAAAUUUGUGAAGUCGGCUGAUCAACUUGCAGAUAUCUCACCAAGCUCUUCAUUGGUCCUCGUAUUAAUUACAUUUGUAACAAGCUACGUACAUGAAUUGUAUGCACUAGCUUGAGGGGGAGUGUUAGAAUAUGAAUAGGUUUAUACAAUUCUAUUAGAAUAGGAAUAGNNNNNNNNNNNNNNNNNNNNNNNNNNNNNNNNNNNNNNNNNNNNNNNNNNNNNNNNNNNNNNNNNNNNNNNNNNNNNNNNNNNNNNNNNNNNNNNNNNNNNNNNNNNNNNNNNNNNNNNNNNNNNNNNNNNNNNNNNNNNNNNNNNNNNNNNNNNNNNNNNNUUUAUACAAUCCUAUUAGAAUAGGAAUAGAUUUAUACAAUCCUAUUAGAAUAGGAAUAGAUUUAUACAAUCCUAUUAGAAUAGGAAUAGAUUUAUACAAUCCUAUUAGAAUAGGAAUAGAUUUAUACAAUCCUAUUAGAAUAGGAAUAGAUUUAUACAAUCCUAUUAGAAUAGGAAUAGAUUUAUACAAUCCUAUUAGAAUAGGAAUAGAUUUAUACAAUCCUAUUAGAAUAGGAAUAGAUUUAUACAAUCCUAUUAGAAUAGGAAUAGGUUUAUACAAUCCUAUUUAGAAUAGGAAUAAGAAUACAAAUAGGAAUAGGAAUAGUAAAUAGUAUCCUACUUGGUAAAAGAUUGUAUUCUAGUGUCUAUAAAUAGGAUCUCAAUGUAAUAAUAUAGACACAACAACAAUUCAAUAAUAUUUUUCCCUUGUAUUUCUCACAGUAAAGAAAGAAAGGGUAAAAAUAGGACCAUUGUAUACCGUUUCCCAAAUCCAAAAAGAGGAUAUGGAUAAGAAUUUGUAAAAAUCAUUAGACAUGAGUUCAACAUGUCACCCCCGUUCUUCAUUCUAAAUAUAGAUAAGAAAACGUUGAAAUUCCCCUAAGACCAUUUCAGUCAAUUUGACAAGUGUUCUAGUGAUUUCCAUCCAUAACUUUGUGAAUGCUCUUCUGGAACCAGUGGUUGUAUGGAAGUGGUCAAAACUUCACCACUUAACAGUUGAAUAACCUAGCUUAGUAGUGUCACUGAUUGAUUUGGUACUCUUGCUGUGUAAGGUGACUGCCAGUAAAAAAGACAAUAUUGCCACCCAGUAACAACUGAUAUGAUCCAUAGGAGAUAAAAAUCCUGAACAUGAGCAAGAAAAUAACCUAAAGCCCGACAGAAUCACUAGAAGCACACACUUGUAAGAAGAAAAUCCUUAUUUCAGAAGCAUCAACUAGCAGGACUGAGAAAUAUAGGCAGGAUAAAAAAUAGUCUAAUUGUACAAUGAUAAGAAAUAGCUGUAUAAAUAUGACAUUAGAUCACAGUUUACAAGAAGCAUAGUCCAUAUUAACUAUGUAUUAUCUGCAUACAUAAAAGUUAAACAUGAAGCUGCUCUUCAAGGCUUCUUUAUGGUCUCCAGGAUCCCCAGGUAGCUUAGUAUGACUAGGUUCAUUUAAAAUUCCAGAUGCUUUAAGAGUGUCUAUAGUAGAGCAUGGGUUAUCCAGGUAGCUUAGCAUGAAUAAGUUCAGUUAAAUAUUUUAGAUGUUUUAUGAGUCUAUAAUAUUUAUUUAGAAGAUUCAUAAGUGAGAGUCUCAGCAGAGCAUUCUCAAUAAGAACUAGAAAACAUACUAGAUGCAGAUACCCAAGGGCAGCAAAACUUAACCAUUGCAAACAGUGAAAAUAAGGAUAAGAGCUUUCAGUCUCUUCAGUCAUUAGCUAAAAAGUUAGAAAAAAAUUAUUCUGGGCGAGGCACACAUACUGUCAGUUGUGUGAGGCCUCUUUUGGCUGCCACAUGUAUACUGUGGGACCCAUAAUGUACUUAUUUCCUUACUUUUUCUUUUCCAAUUUUAAUCUUUUCUUUUACUUUUUCUUUCUUACCAGCAUUUUCUUUUUUGUUUGUUAAUUCUUAGUGUAAAUUUUAUUUUUUAUUUUUUGUUUUAAUAAAGAAACUUUGAAACUCACCCCACGGUAUCUAUUAUAUAUUUUAUAAAUCUAUUACUAUUUAUUUUGUAGGGGAAAUUAAAGUAAUAUGUCGAAAAAUUAAAUUUAUUUAUUUUUGGAUGAAUUCAAGAAAAAUUGAGGAUAGUGAAUUUAAAAAAAAUUGAAAAUUUCUUCAAUAAAGUAAAAAUUCAUGUAAUCAACCAAUUGAACUACUAAAAUUCAAUCGGCAUUAUUUAUUAUACUUAAAUAUAUAAUUUAAUUUUAAUUAUUUAAAUUUUAGUCUCUUUUAUUUUGAGAUUUCAAUUUUAAUCACUCAAUUCUUAGUUAUCAAAUAUGUUUUUUUUAUUUUUGUUUAUGCUUAAUAUUAAUAAUAAUGUAUUAAUGAUAUCAAACACUCAAUUAUCUUUUCUUUUCCAGAUUUGUUAAAUUUUCCACUUCUAUGGCAUGUAUCCAAUAAAUAUUGCCAAUAUUGAUUUUGUGUUUCUCGUUAAAGAUUUUUUUUUAUGUUUAGUAUCUUAAAAUGUGAAACGAAACUUUUAUAGAUUCAUUUUUUUCUUGUGGGUUACGAAAAUUAAUAGAAAAAAGAGUCAACCAAAUGAAUUUGUGAAAGCACAAAAUAAAUAAUUGCAUGAAUAUAUUUAUUUUCACUAAAGGUAGGACUACAAAAAAAAAAAAAAAGGCAGUAAAAAUAUUGGUAAAGAAAAGGGUAAAAUUUGAGAAAAUGGAAGUGAGGGAGAGACAGUGUGACAAUAAGAGGGACCCACAGAAAACACAUGUCAAAAGGAAAUGGUGCCCUCACACAACUAUUGUUGGUUGUGCCUCAACCACCAUAAAAUUUUUCAACAAGUUAAUCUAAGAUGACUUGAAAAUUGUAAGGAUCCAGGUAAAAUAAUGUCAGACCUUGAUAAAAAUGCAGGUUAUUAAAGCCGCUGAAUAUAUUAGUUGGCUAUUUGAGCAUAUGAUUACCCAAAAGUUGGUUUUCUAUCAAUUGAAGAUUCGUUGGAAGAGUCGGUUCUUUUGGGGAAAUAAGAAGCCUUGCCUUUGUGCCAGACAGUGAUAACAGGGUAAUAAAUGCUAAUGAAAGAACACACCACGAGUUCCUUUCAGAGAACUAGGAGGUGGAGCUGACCUUCAAAUGCAAGAAUGUAAAAGCCUACAAUGAUGCUAGUGCCAAGAACACAAGUUGGAGUUUCAUGGUCAAUGAUCUGCUACUAUGACCUUUUCUAUAAGCAACUCGAGUAAGAGCAUAGAUGAGUUGAAGAUGGAGUUUUGUUUGGUUAUAGUUUAUGAAAACAAUAUUUGGUUGGUUGAAUAUCCUUUUCAUAAAAAUACAUCAAAUAUUAAUUUUAAUGGGGUCAUUUUUACAAAAUAAAAAAUUGAGGGUAAAAUUUGAAAAAGAAAAAUAUAUUUGUUAGAAUAGGAAUAUGAAUUAGUAUAUAGAAUCCUACUUGGUUCUCACAUGGUAUCAAAGCAUCAGUGAGAAAAUAUAUGUAGUGCAAUAUUCUAGCGAAGUUCCAGGAGAAAAAUCACCACCAUGCAUAAUUUUUCCGGUGGCUGCUCAGUGCUCACAUCACAAUCUUUAUCUAGUAGUGUUGUGCAAAAUCCGACACUACCACAGCAUAGAUCACGUUCAGUCGAGAAAACCCUAGUUUGUCGCUCCAAGAAAACAAUCCCCCAUGUGGUCUCACGCGCUUCUCGAAGGUCCUACACCUGCGUGUGAGAAAUCUUUUGGCCACUUAUCUAUCAGAUUUCUUUUUCCAGUAGGUCAUCCGUCAUUCCGACCAUACUCAUAUAAUUUUCCAAAUCACUUUGUGCCUGUCAGAUCUAAUUUUGCAGUGACACAAAUAAGUCUUUACCAGAUUCCAACAACGACUUAUAUUUCUUUUCAGAAUUUAGGUUACAAAAUUCUAAUUUCACAAGUUGUCUUAGAGACUCCUAGCAUUACCGUCUCAUCCAUGUUGGACACUUGGAGCAUGUCAUAGUUCAAGCUUGUCCAACCACAAGCUAUUUUCAAAAUGAAAUAGGAUUCCUCCUCUAACAUGCUAGAAAUUUAGAGCAUAGCAUAUGAAAUCCUUAAUGUACUUCCACAUAAUGGCACCUAUUUGCGUCUCAAACGAUUGCAGUUUGUAAUUGCCUCUUUAUCUCUUUUAACUACUCAUAAUUGUUGAUGUAUAAUAACCCUUUCUCCAUGUCGACAUACAGUCAUCUCCACCAAAGCAUAGGGAUAUCCUUUAGGAGCAUUGAUGUAAGGUUGACUAUUGCAAGAUUAAACUAUGUUUCAAUUCAAGUGCUAAAUUGGUUAUAUAAGAUCAUAAUUACUAAAUAGAAAUAAUUUAUUAAAAUAACAUAUGAUUAUUAGUAAUCUAAUUGUAGUGUGUAAGUCAAAAGACAUACUUAAAAUUGCAAAAUUAUUUUUAUAUUACAAAAAUUAACUUUGUGACUUCAAUGCAAUGAAUUAAAAGUUAAAUGAACAUUUCUAUGAAAUUAACCACUUGGAUUAUUCAAAUACUAAAGAAAGAGAUUAACUACUUGUCCAAUAUUACUUCUGAUUAAAGAAGGCAAUCAAAUAGAUGUUCCUCUAACGCUAGAAAGAGAGCUCAAAAAUGAGGUCAUCAUAGAUCCACCCCCUCCCUCCGUCUUUCCAAUUAAAGAGAACAAAGAAGAAAAGGCACAAAUAUUUGCAUCCAAUCAUAUAAACAUACACUUCUUUUAAUGUGGGGAUAAUGUAAAGAAGAGGAACAUAAAAUGAUAGAUGGGAACUCCAUUAAUGUGGAAGGAGUGGUGGAGACAAAUUAAACAAUGGAGUCAAACUAAUUGAAAUUACAUGUGAAGAAAAAGAAAAAAAGGACUAAGUGAGGCAACGAAACAACUUAAGGUUUAAAAGGAAUAUGCAAAGGUCCUGAUCUUUUCGAACCAAAAAUGUGUGCUCGAUCUAGAGCUCGUAGACUACUAUCGCAUGCUCAUAAACCAAGUUUAACAUUUAGAGCUGUCAAUAUGGGCUGGCCCACCCCAUCCGAGCUAACCCAUACAGGCUUUGAAAUUUGACGGGUCAGGCCAGGCUAGCCCAUUUUUGGUGUGGGCCAGAAAAUGGUCGGCCCAGCCCACAAGUACGUGGGCUACGGGCUUGCCGGGCCAGCCCUCUUUUCGUAAAAAUAUAUUUUUUAUAAUUUUUUAAAUUAAAUUAUAAUUUAAAAUAUUAUCAUAAAUAUUGACAAGAUAAUAUUACAUGGUGUUAGUGUUACUACUUGUUAAUUAAAUCCACAAAUAAAAUUAUCUUUAUAAUAUUUAUUAAGUUUGAUUUCAAGUAAAAGCAUAAAUAGCUAAAUAAAAAUCUAAACCUAAUUGUGUUCCAAUAAUCAUAAUAAAACACAAAAAACUAUGACAAUAUUCCAUAGGCUACGGCCUAUGUAGUGAUUCCUAGAAAUUUUAGGGUAUUUUUAUUUUACGUAAUACGUAUUUUAUAAACAUAAUUUGUAUUUAAAUUGUAAUAUUUCAAACUUUAAACUGAUCUUGAGUUUAGACUCUUGUUAAUUUUAAUACUCUAUUUUAUUUUUUAUUUUUUAAUUAAUUUUUAUUUGGCCCACGGGCCGGCCCUAUCCAUAUUUCUCAAUUCCCACAAAUCGGCAGGCUUAUUCAGGCCAGGCUAAAAAGUCCUUUCUUAAAUGGCUCCAAAAAUCGCAGCCUAGCCCUAUCAAAUCCCGGGUUAGGCCAGACCGGCCCAACGGUCCUAGCCCAUAUUGACGGCUCUAUUUAACAUCCAAUGGUAGUAAUAUAAAGCAACAAUUUAUCCCCAAGUUUUGGAAGACAUACAAUAACAGGUCUUCCAAGGAAGAAGAUGUUGAGUAUUUGUUGGGCACACAAUUGGUUGCUCCCAAUUGAAUUUUAUAUAGCAAAGUAAAGAACUCCUUCGAUUUUAUAAUUCUUACACUCAAUUUUUCAUGCACUCACACUCGAGCAAACUCUCUAUGUUACUCUCUCUUAUUUCUCACUUGAUCAUUCCUUACUUGAGCUCAACCUAUUUGAGCGCACACUCUUUAUUUGGGUACACCUUAUUGAGCAUACACACAUCUCAAAUGAACCACCUCUAUUUAUAAGUGGUGAUGGAAGAAUUUAGUUAAGGAUAUUUACUACUCUAUUCUAGAAUGUUUCUCCAACUAUUUAAUUCUAAAACGACUCUUUCUAUAAUAUUUCUAGACUUCUGUGAGGAAUACUCAUUCUAGAGAUCCUUCUUCAAUUCUUCUACAACUAUUGAAUAAUCUAGAUUUUUCUUUGAAAUAUCUUAAAUAUUAAUUAAGUUGGUGAUAAAUACUUAACACUACCCCUCAAUGCCAACUUAAUGUGUUAUGUGUGUUCGUCAUGAGCGAUCCCUGAAACUCUACAAGCAACAUGAUGUCCAUGCCCUUUCAAAAUCUCAAUCUCUGCCGGAUUACUCUGAUCCCUAUGCUUUAAAGCUUUUUCAAAGGUAGUAGACUAUUCGAUCUUGACCACCUCAACUAAUUUUUGUUGCAUAUGUAUAUUUGUCGUUUGGGCAUUUCAGUCGUGUCGAUCUUCUUAGUUGAGGUUGUAGAGCUUAUUGGACUCCUUACAACUCUUGAGGGGUUUCAUGUACUCUAGUUUGCCAUGGGAUCUUAUUUUAUCCUUUUGAAGAUAGCUCUUUUGUAUGUGAUUUGUAUUUUCCCUAUACCUUCUUCAAGUUAAUGUUGUAACUCUUGCUCUAGUUCUCUUGAAUCUGGUACGACUGAUUUGUACCACCAUGUUGGUGCUUCAUCAAAUACCACAUAAGGUAUUUCAGCUGGUAUGCCAUAGAUUUACUCUAAUCUUCUUCUCUAGAUGAUUGACGUGCUUGUGACUUUCAAAUUUUGAUAUACUUUAUGUCAUUUGGCCCAAACAAGACAACUUCCUGAAUUUGUUAGUUGUGACACAGAUAUAAGUUCGUCAUAGACAUGAUAGAUAUUUUGAAGUUCCACUUGUCUCGGGCUAUGACGAAGCACAAACACGUCUUACCAAUAUUAUAAGUUAUUGGCAUUUUUGAAUUACUUGUAGUCACCACUACUUACCACCUUUAUAUUCGCUCAUGUCGAUAAGCUUUUCACAUCACUUGUCAUAUGAUUGGAGCAUCACAAAUUAAUGAUUCAAUCAUAUGCUCAUAACUGAUAAGUUUAUCAUUUACAGUUGCAAGAUCUAGCUUCCUUUCUUCGUUAGAGUGAGAGGUGAGAAGCUCUUACGGUUGAUUUAUUUCCGGUAUUCCCAUUCCCUUGGCCGUGAGCUUCUCUUCAUCCCCUUUUUCAGUAGCAUUGCCUUUUGCUGAAGAGUGCCUUAUCUUCAUUUUUUUAAUAAGAACACUUGAUAAUGGUUUCUCCAAAGUCUUCUUCAUUUACCAAUAAAUUUUCCAACACAGAUAAAGUUGGUUCGCUGGCCAAACCAGCGUGUGGCCGUAAUUAUGUCUCUAUACUCCAAGUUUAGACAUGAACCAUGAUUCUCCUCAUCCUUGUCUCUCUGAUAGUAUUCUUUGGAUCUAAUUUUGAUAUUUCAUUAGAUAAACAUUUUACCUUUGAGAAGUAUUGUUUGAUCUUCAUCAUCCGUUGUGAGAUCGACAAAACUCAUUUUCAAGUUGUAAUCGCGCAUCAUUUUUAUCAGAUGAGAUCGUCGUCAAAGUUGCUACCUCAUUCUUUACCCACUCGACUUUAAUACCACUUGUUGAGAAUUGUUGGGCUCAUAACUUGAAUUUCAUUAUGUCAUUGCAAAGUAAGGAUCCACUUCGGUCUUACAAUUCUUUUUUUUUUUAUGACAAGGGAAACCCGCAGCCGCUACCCUUUGGGGGCGCACAGGAUAAAACCCCCGCUCCUAUGUAAUAGCUCGCAAACCACAUAGGAGAGGUAAUCCGCACUAGGCAAGCCCGAUGCGACGAGCUCGACCCAGAAGGCAAACCCCUUGCUUUCGCUGGCAAGGGAUUUCGAACUUGAGAUCUCCAACAUGGAAGUCUCAAGCCCAAACCAUUGGGCCACCCCGAAGGGUUCGGUCUUACAAUUCUUACCCUGUAUUUUUCUUGCACUCACACUCAAGCAACUCUCCUUUGUUGCUCUAUUUUAUUUUUAUCUUGAUCACUCACUUUCUUGUUUAUUUACUUGCUUGAACACUCAAUUUUUACUCGAGUUCAACUCAUUUACGCACUCUCUCUUUACUGAGUAAACCUUGUUGAGCACACACACCUCAAAUGAGCCACUUCUAUUUAUAUGUAGUAAUGGAAGAUUCUAUUUAUAGGUGGUGAUGGGAGAAUCUAGUUAAAGGAUGUUUACUAUUUUAUUCUAGAAUGUACCAACUAUUUAUUUCUACAAUAUUUUUAGACUCAGAGAAUACUCAUACUAGAGAUUUUUUCUUCAAUUCUCUAACACUCUUGAAUAUUUUAGAUUCUUCUUUAAAAUAUAUAUUAAUUAAGUUGGUGAUGAAUACUUACACGGUAGAUUCAUCAAAUUCCUUUCAUCCUUUAUAUCUUAUUGGACAUGCUCUACUAUCCCUAUAGGGCUUCCAAAUCUACAACAAAGAUGCACCCUUAUUCCUAACUUUGCUCUCUUUAGAAACAACCAGAUUAAAGAGUCCAUUCAUAAUUUUCAUGUACUAUGGUAGUAAAAUUUCAACUUUGAUGUGGUUAAUGGGUAUUUCAGUAUUGGUGUCCACAAUAGCAGAGGCGGACCCACCUUUACUAGUGGGGUGCAUGAGCACCCGUUAACUUCGAAAAAAAUCAUGUGUAUAUAUGUAUAUCUAUUUUGAGAAACUACGAUAUAAUUAACAAUGCACCCAUGAGGAGCAUAGGGGUGUUCUUGUGCUGCUUGUACAAGGCAGAGAACCACCGGGUUCGAAUCCAGCUAGAGUGCUAAAUUCAUUCGCCUCUGCACAACAGUAUAUUAUGACAUGCAGUAAACUCUCUACCCAUGUGAAACAUGCUCAAAGGCAAAGAAGACUUUUCUGAAUUCUGAGGCGUGAGGUAGAGCAUGAAAUAAAGACUUAUAUUCCAAUUAAAAUACGUACAAUGUUUUAGACACUGCGUAUGACAUAGGCGUCUGCGUUAGCUUAUAUAGCUUGACUUUAAUCCGAUAGGAAAAAACUGCUUUUGCAAAUAUCUAGGACUCAAAAAGUAUUAGUAUUAUCAUUAUAAUACUUUGUUCGUUAUAUUUUUCUUUUUUAAGUAUGUUAUAAUAAUAAAAAAAGUUUCCAUUAAAGGAUUUAGUGCUUUUUAAAACAUUACAUAUAUAUUUAUAAGGCUAAUUCAAAAAUCAAACUAACACGAGGAAGUAUUAUAAUAGAAAAAUCAAGCAUAUCAGUAUUUUGAAGUAAAAAAAAUAAAAAUAAAGAAGAACCUGUUGGUACUGGAGAAUUCAAAGAGGCGUCCACGGCUGGAGAAGACGAGGACGGCGACAUCAACAUCGCAGAGAAUAGAGAGCUGUUUGGCUUUCUUCAUGAGUCCAUUUCUUCGUUUGGAGAAAGUUGCUUGCCUACUGCUCUUAUCUUCAAUUCGCUUUAUUUCCACUUUCUUCCUUCCCAUUUCUUCAAACUCCCAAACCCUAACUAAUUCUCACAAAUGAAAAUGGCCGUAUAUAAGAAGCUUUGUACCUCCAUCUCCAUCACUUUCACGAAUUUCAUAAAGUGCUAUGAGUUUUAUGGUCUCUCCUCCUUUUUCGAAUCGUCGCAAUAAAGCCUUAAUUUCAUGUUUACUUAUAAUUCCCACGCCUAUUCGUCUUCUACUCUUUAGACCUCUAAUUCUAUUUAUUUUUUUACAGGGGUAACUAGGUGAAUAUAUAUAAAAUAGGGAAAAGUUACAUGUGUGAAAUCCAGCCAAUGAGAGAGCGACACCUGGCUCAAAAUGGAGAUUCCAACGGCGGAGGCGACUGCUAGCGGUGAUGGCGGCGUGGUGUUGUUAAAGAUAUAAGCGGUGAUUGGCUGAAGAAAACGGUGACACAGACUGGGUUGUUUUGAUUUGAAUUAGAAACUAGUAAAAUUAUCCGUACAGAAAUUUAUUAUCAUGAAAUUUCUAAAAUAAUACUUAAAAGGAAAAAUUCUUUUGGCCAGAAAAUUUGGCCAUAAUGGCCCAAAUACAUGUUCACACUAUAAAUUGAUUUAUUUUUUGAUAA
rnacentral:lncRNA from 1 species